GGGAAUAGGAGCGGCUGCAGGAGUAGGUAUGGAGCAGCCGCUAUGAUCCGGGGGUCACAACAAAUGGCCCAGUUAGAAACGGCAAUAGAUCAAGACUUGAAGACAUUAGAGACCUCUAUCACAGCCUUGCAGGAUUCUUUAACCUCUCUCUCUGAGGUUGUCUUGCAGAACAGGUGGGGGUUAGAUCUCCUCUUUAUGAGGGAAGGAGGCCUCUGUGUAACACUAAGGGAAGAAUGUUGUUUUUAUGCUGACCAUACUGGAGUUGUAAAAGAAUCCAUGAGUAAAUUAAGAAAAUGCCUUGAAGAGUGCCAGAGAGAAAGGGAAACUCAACAACGGUGGAUUGAGUCUUGGUUUGCCCAGUCUCCCUGGUUAACUACACUCCUAUCAGCCCUAGCUGGACCCUUGAUUAUUCUUAUGCUGUUACUGACUGUGGGACCCUGUUUGCUUAACCGUAUAGUUUCUUUCCUCCAGGCUCAGAUUGGACAGGUGAAACUCAUGGUACUCAGACCACAAUAUGCUCCACUGGCAGUAAUGGAACAUGAAACCCUUCAAUAAUUGUGAUGCAUUACUUUUAAGAUUAAAAGUAGUCAGAAAAAAGAGUGGGAAAUGUAAAGGUAAAAAAAAAUGAAGUUAAAGUGUAAAAUACCGGGCAUUGUAAAGUUUCUAGGCUGCAAGGCCUGAGUUAAAAUAUAAAGGAUUAGGUAUUGUUAAGUUCCUAUGCUACAUGCAAAACCUGAAAUUCCUGUAGCUGUUAAGACAAUGCUUGGAACCGCCCAGUAAAUAUUCCCCCUGACCGCUUGGUUGUCUAAUAACUCAGGGCUCUGUACGAUCUUGCACGUAGGCAUUGCAGGGCCUGGACCAAUCAGUUUGAAUGUGUACCCCGUUUAGAAGUGACCUAUCACCUCCGCCCGACCUGUUCCUGCCAAAGAAUGAACUAACCAUGUUUGGGAAUUAUUGUUUGAUUUUCCCGUGGUGUAUGAUGAUUUGUUAAAGGAGACUGUGAUGUAUGUAAAAUCCCC
rnacentral:lncRNA from 1 species